AAGCUCUUUCGCACGCGACGAUGAUGACGGUAGCGUGAGAAGAAGCCCCGGCUAACUUCGUGCCAGCAGCCGCGGUAAUACGAAGGGGGCGAGCGUUGUUCGGAUUUACUGGGCGUAAAGGGCGCGUAGGCGGCGAUGAAAGUCAGGCGUGAAAGCCCCGGGCUCAACCUGGGAGGUGCGCUUGGGACUACAUUGCUGGAGUUCGGGAGAGGAGCGUGGAAUUCCCAGUGUAGAGGUGAAAUUCGUAGAUAUUGGGAAGAACACCGGUGGCGAAGGCGGCGCUCUGGACCGAUACUGACGCUGAGGCGCGAAAGCGUGGGGAGCAAACAGGAUUAGAUACCCUGGUAGUCCACGCUGUAAACGAUGUGUGCUAGACGUUGGGGAGCCUAGCUCUUCGGUGUCGCCGCUAACGCUUUAAGCACACCGCCUGGGGAGUACGGCCGCAAGGUUA
rnacentral:rRNA from 1 species